CAUGACUUGCUUCGGUGGUGAGCAUACUAAAUUGGAACAAUACAGAGAAGAUCAGCAUGGCUUUUUGUUAAGAAAACAAGAAAGUUCAUGGCAAGUUCCAGAUAUAA
ensembl:snRNA U6 U6 spliceosomal RNA